AACGAACGCUGGCGGCAUGCCUAAUACAUGCAAGUCGAACGAGAUCUUCGGAUCUAGUGGCGCACGGGUGCGUAACGCGUGGGAAUCUGCCCUUGGGUUCGGAAUAACUUCUGGAAACGGAAGCUAAUACCGGAUGAUGACGUAAGUCCAAAGAUUUAUCGCCCAAGGAUGAGCCCGCGUAGGAUUAGGUAGUUGGUGAGGUAAAGGCUCACCAAGCCGACGAUCCUUAGCUGGUCUGAGAGGAUGAUCAGCCACACUGGGACUGAGACACGGCCCAGACCCCACGGGGGGGCGGCGGAAGGGAAAAUGGGACAAGGGGCGAAGGCCUGACCAGGAAAGGCGGGGUGAGUGUUGAGGGCUUUGGGGUGGUAAACCUCUUUACCCGGGAUGAUAAUGACAGUACCGGGAGAAUAAGCGCCGGCUAACUCCGUG
rnacentral:rRNA from 1 species